GGUGGGUAUGGCGGACAUUUGGGAUAGCAUUUAAAAUGUAAACGAGUAAAAUACCUAAUAAAAAUAAAAUAAAAUUAAAAAAAAAAAAGAAAUCAACCACAUCAAAGUUAAUACAAUUAUCACUUGGUGACUGUAGACUUUGUACCAUUUCAACAGAAUAUGCCUAUUUUUUCUUUCAGUUGUAUAUACUGUACCUUCAUCACUCUCAUCAGAGUGCUAGGUAUGAAUUUUCUAUUUAAUGUAUCUUCUACUAUUUUAAAUUUUGUUAUUGAAUUCUCAUAGCUUCAUCAAUAUCAGUAUUGCUUCCAACUGCUGCCACAAUAAUAAUAUGUAUCCAGAGCAGCAAAUGCAUACUGGGAAAUGGGUAAAGUAAUACAUAAAAAUAUGGGUAAUACAUAUUUCUUAAUAUCUAAUGUCUGGACAGAUACUUCAUACAGCCAUUUUCUUUGCAUUCAUAAUUUGAACUGAAUGAUCUUUUCUGUAUCAGAAGAGAACUAUAGCAAGGAGGUAAUUCCUGACAUGAAAAUGACCCUGGCAGGUGGUGGCUUCAUAGUGUCUCUCUCCUCUGUUUGUUGACACCUCAUGGCUGAAGACUGGCUUGAAUAGUUUUGUCUUACUGACAGCUGUCAACCAUUAAUGAACCAUAUGCAGUGAUGGUAACAUUGUUACCAACUUUCUGUGAACCAUAUGUAAAUGGUGAAAAGAGUGACAUACAAACACUUUGAAACAAGCAAAGGGCAUAAUUGCUAAGCUGAAAGUAAAAAAACUUUAAUUAAUUUAAGAUAAUACAGUUAAAAACAGGUUAUUUAAAUUAGGUCACCAUCAUCUUACCUCAACUUCAUUUAUACUUUCAUGCCAAGUUUAAGAACCUAAGACAAAUACAUAAAUGGAAAGAUGGCUAUCUUAAGUCUCUAAAUCCAGAUCUGGAAGAGUAUAUAUUGGCAGUGCCAUUCAUCUUUAAAUUUUACCUAAGGAUGAGAAAUUAAUAUAAAUGCAUUUAGAGAUAAUUGUAGUAAUUUUGAAAACAGUAAAUCUUAUUUACUUUCAUACAGAGAAAAAUUGGGUAUCAAAUGAAGAGCACAAGAGGUUUCAAAAUUAUUUGAUUCCACGGGAUUCUAUUUACUGCUUAGUAACAACAUAAUGUUUAUCUAGGCAUGAUGGCAUAUGCUUUCACUCCAAGCACUCAAGAAACAGACGUAUGUAUAUUUCAGUGAGUUUGAGGACAACUGGGCUUACAUAGAGAAUUUCAGGACAUCCAUAGUUACAUAAAAUGUUCUUUUCUCGCAAGCAAAAUAAGUCGAUGUAAUGUUCUACAAAAUGAGACGGUGACAAAGUACUUAAUUUACAGAGUAGUGUUUAAAGUUUGUAUCUAACCCUCAUACUUCAAGUAAUGUAUAAUAAGCAAGUAAUGCAGAAGUGGAUGCUCACAGUCAUCUAUUGGGUGGAACACAGGGCCUCCAGUGGAGGAGCUAGAGAAAGUACCCAAGGAGCUGAAAGGGUCUGCAACCCUAUAGGAGGAACAACAAUAUGAACUAACCAGUAUCCCGGAGCUCUUGUCUCUAGCUGCAUAUGUAGCAGAAGAUGGCCUAGUCAGCCAUCAUUAGGAAGAGAGCCCCUUGGUCUUGCAAACUUUAUAUGCCCCAGUACAAGGGAACACCAGGGCCAAGAAGUGGGAGAGGAUGGGUAAGAAAGCAGGGCUGGGGGAAGGUAUAGGGGACUUUUGGGAUAGCAUUUGAAAUGUAAAUGAAGAAAAUAUCUAAUAAAAAUUGUUUAAAAAUCAAGUAAUGUAUAAUAAUGAUAAUUAUUAAUAAAAUUGUCUGGCACUUACAUAUGAAAGUUAUUUUGUCCUCUCAUCAUUUUAAAAAUGUGAGUAGUAUCAUUAUCCUUAUUUUAUAAGUAGGGAGAAUAAAGAUUGAGGAAAGUAAAGCAUAAAGAAUUUAGGUAUGGAAAGCAACACAGUUGAGAGUUUUGUCUCCAGUUGGCCGGAGAUUAUUAUUCCAAUAUUAUCUGAUAAUCUGGAUGAAGUCAUGUUACUAUUGAAUUUAUUUGAUGCCCUUUACACCCUAUUUCCAGCAAAUACCCUAGCUGUGCAAGUAGAAUCCACAAAAUAUGGCAUCCACUUGGUAAAUAAUUAUUUGAUCUUGGUGACUGAGUAAAUAAAUGAAUACAUGAAACAUACAUAAAAUGACUACCUUUGCUGUAAUAUUCUGUAGGAGGCACUUAUAGUCUGUAAUAUAUAGAUUAUAGACUAAUUGUCAUAUUUGAAAAUGUGAUUAAUUAUGAGAGUACUAUAUGUCUGCUUUGUGAAACCCAUAUAGCAACAUAUUUCAAGUGUCUUUAUCUCAGAAGAAAUGUAAAUGAAUUUUAUUAAGUCUCAUUAGAGUCUGUUCUUGAAGACUAAAGAUGUAUGUGCAUAAAGAGAAAAGUAUUUGUGUUUAUUACCAUGUAAGUACUUUCAUUGAUGGAUUGUCCCACGUGUAGUUCAUGUGAGCAUAGACUUAGUACCCAACUGUUUCAUCCUUAUAGUCUUAUCUGUGACUUUUAAUCUUCAAAACGUUGUACCCAAAUCAGGUAAUAUCAUUGGGUGAUUUUUCUACAGAAAACAUGCACAAAGAAGAUGUGGGGGAUAUAUUUUCUAUUUAUAUUUAUUUAUUUGUUUACAUCCCAAAUAUUGCCCCUUCUGGGUUCCCCCUCACAGAGACCCUUCUUCUAUCUCCCAUUCUCCUCUGAGAGGACUGGGCCCCCUUUGGUAUGUUGGAAGAGAAUUUAAGUAGAGUUGGGAAAGGAAGAUAAUUAAAGAAAAUAUUGUCUUACUGAAAUGACUGUGAAACUCACAGAGGUUACUAUUCAUUGAACAUUUUAAGUCAAGAACAUAUUGCAAUGUGCUUGUUUAAACAGCCACUCCAUACUUAUGCCUGCCUUAGGAGCCUGAGCCAUGCUCUGGAGAUACCUUUACUGCAGUGAUGGUCAUUGUGAAAUGUGCGAAAUUUCAUAAACAUUUGGAAUCUAGAUAUUUCCUCUAAGUAGCAGUGCUUUUGAUUCUACAAUAUUUCCCUUUCUCUUUGUUGAUGAGUUAUGUGUUUUACACUGUUCAAAAUCUGAUUCUGAACCACUAUGGUCUUCAUAUACAUAGAUUAUAGUUUAUUGUAAACCAAAAAUUGUAUAAGUUGUACAUAGUAAAAAUAAAAUAGAAUAAAAAUAAUUGAAAAUAUUUAAAAUGUUUCUCACAAAUUAGUUUAGAAGGUUAUUGUAAUAGAAUUGCACAGCUGAGAAAACCUGUAAUUGGUAAUUUAAACUUUAAAAGAACUUGUAAUACAACUGACAGAUUUUUCAAAAAGAAAAAACUCCAAUACAUCAAGAAACUAUUGGCCUUUUCAAGUAACCAUUUCCAUGGUUGUUC
rnacentral:lncRNA from 1 species